rnacentral:rRNA from 1 species
UACGUAGGGUGCGAGCGUUGUCCGGAAUUAUUGGGCGUAAAGAGCUUGUAGGCGGUUUGUCGCGUCUGCUGUGAAAAUCCGGGGCUCAACCCCGGACUUGCAGUGGGUACGGGCAGACUAGAGUGUGGUAGGGGAGACUGGAAUUCCUGGUGUAGCGGUGAAAUGCGCAGAUAUCAGGAGGAACGACCCGAUGGCGAAGGCAGGUCU